GACGAACGCUGGCGGCGUGCUUAACACAUGCAAGUCGAACGAAGAGCGAUGGAAGCCUGCUUCUAUCAAUCUUAGUGGCGAACGGGUGAGUAACGCGUAAUCAACCUGCCCUUCAGAGGGGGACAACAGUUGGAAACGACUGCUAAUACCGCAUACGAUCUAAACUCGGCAUCGAGGAUAGAUGAAAGGUGGCCUCUACAUGUAAGCUAUCACUGAAGGAGGGGAUUGCGUCUGAUUAGCUAGUUGGAGGGGUAACGGCCCACCAAGGCGAUGAUCAGUAGCCGGUCUGAGAGGAUGAACGGCCACAUUGGGACUGAGACACGGCCCAGACUCCUACGGGAGGCAGCAGUGGGGAAUCUUCCGCAAUGGACGAAAGUCUGACGGAGCAACGCCGCGUGAGUGAUGACGGCCUUCGGGUUGUAAAGCUCUGUUAAUCGGGACGAAAGGCCUUCUUGCGAAUAGUGAGAAGGAUUGACGGUACCGGAAUAGAAAGCCACGGCUAACUACGUG
rnacentral:rRNA from 1 species